rnacentral:rRNA from 1 species
GUUAUCGUUUAUUUGAUAAUACCUUACUACUUGGAUAACCGUGGUAAUUCUAGAGCUAAUACAUGCUGAAAAUCCCGACUUCGGAAGGGAUGUGUUUAUUAGAUAAAAAACCAAUGCCCUUCGGGGCUUUUUGGUGAUUCAUGAUAACUUUACGGAUCGCAUAGCCUUGCGCUGGCGACGGUUCAUUCAAAUUUCUGCCCUAUCAACUUUCGAUGGUAAGGUAUUGGCUUACCAUGGUUUCAACGGGUAACGGGGAAUUAGGGUUCGAUUCCGGAGAGGGAGCCUGAGAAACGGCUACCACAUCCAAGGAAGGCAGCAGGCGCGCAAAUUACCCAAUCCCAACACGGGGAGGUAGUGACAAUAAAUACUGAUACAGGACUCUUUCGGGUCUUGUAAUUGGAAUGAGUACAAUUUAAACCUCUUAACGAGGAACAAUUGGAGGGCAAGUCUGGUGCCAGCAGCCGCGGUAAUUCCAGCUCCAAUAGCGUAUAUUAAAGUUGUUGCAGUUAAAAAGCUCGUAGUUGAAACUUGG